UGCUCCUACGGGAGGCAGCAGUGGGGAAUAUUGGACAAUGGGCGCAAGCCUGAUCCAGCCAUGCCGCGUGUGUGAAGAAGGCCUUCGGGUUGUAAAGCACUUUCAGUGGGGAAGAAAGCCUUGCGGUUAAUACCCGUGAGGAAGGACAUCACCCACAGAAGAAGCACCGGCUAACUACGUGCCAGCAGCCGCGGUC
rnacentral:rRNA from 1 species